UGGGGAAUAUUGCACAAUGGGCGAAAGCCUGAUGCAGCGACGCCGCGUGAGGGAUGACGGCCUUCGGGUUGUAAACCUCUUUCAGCAGGGAAGAAGCGAAAGUGACGGUACCUGCAGAAGAAGCGCCGGCUAACUACGUGCCAGCAGCCGCGGUAAUACGUAGGGCGCAAGCGUUGUCCGGAAUUAUUGGGCGUAAAGAGCUCGUAGGCGGUUAGUCGCGUCUGCUGUGAAAACUCGAGGCUCAACCUCGGGCUUGCAGUGGGUACGGGCUGACUAGAGUGCGGUAGGGGUGACUGGAAUUCCUGGUGUAGCGGUGGAAUGCGCAGAUAUCAGGAGGAACACCGAUGGCGAAGGCAGGUCACUGGGCCGCAACUGACGCUGAGGAGCGAAAGCAUGGGGGGCGAACAGGAUUAGAUAGCCCUGGUAGUCCAUGCCGUAAACGUUGGGCACUAGGUGUGGGGUCCAUUCCACGGAUUCCGUGCCGCAGCAAACGCAUUAAGUGCCCCGCCUGGGGAGUACGGCCGCAAGGCUAAAACUU
rnacentral:rRNA from 1 species